AAGCAUAUCCCCAUUUUUCCCGUUCCUCUGGAAGUUUUUGCUCGCGACGAACACGCUGAGCACGCAUUUUUUUCUCUAUCUCUAAAGAUUUUUCAACUUUGAGACGACGUUGGUCAACAACGUUUCUGGCAUGUUUGCGUAAAUAUCUUCGUAAAGCAGAGUUUUUACCACGGGCUUUUGCCUUUGGUACCCAUUUUUCUUCAGGCGGCUUUUCUUCCUCGGCUUCAGCCUUUCGAAGCGACGGUGCAGCUCUAUCAACAUUACCGAUAAAAUCAGCAUUCAAAGAAAUCAUUUCUGGGCGAAGCUUCUCCAAAAGUUGGCGAACUUCAGUUUCUUGACGUUGUUUUCGAGAAGCAAAAGGAUCGUUUUCAUAUGAAUCAUAAUUGGGUUCACCAGAUCCAGGAACAAUGAUGCUUUCGAAUCCCUUUGCAUGUCCGAUACCUAAAAUAUCCUCAUACGGACAAUAAUGAAGAUCAACAACGGAUGAAGAGGGAAGCAGAUGAUUCAUGUAUGGAAAAUUUUGUUUAGUUCGUAAGGCAUCUUUCCAAAUCGUAGCAUGUGGUCCCCAUCCAACGGCUAGCAAUCCCCGGUCACUGAGGGUUAAGCGCUGAGCAGGUGUAGGGGUGUAAUAGGAGUGAAGCUCUUUGUAAGUUCGAAGGUCCCAAACUUUCAGUAAACUAUCGGCACCAGCGGUAACCAUAUAUCUGCCAUCACGAUUUACUGCCAAAUCACGUACAGGCCCGCGAUGAGUAAGCAUUUUGACAAGAGGUGUAGUUGAAGAUGGAGACCAGAGGGUAACCUGGCCAUUUGCAUGACCAACAUGUUCAACAGCGUUAUGGGGAUUUUGAUGUAAUACAUGGCUAGCACCCAUUCCGGUACGGUGUUCUGCAACCAAUUGUCCAGUAGAGACAUCUUGGUAUUUCAAAUAGCCAGCAUUGCCAAUACUGGUCAAUAGUAAGUGAUAUGGCAAAAAAUCUAGAGCAUUCACUUCGAUAUGCCGCUUCAAACAGUGAAUUUCUGUUCCCAUAUUAUCGUAAACGUAAACAUACUUCUUUUGUGCAACAGCAAAAUAUUGAUGGUUAUGAAACCAUUUAACAUCUCGAACGGUCUCUCUUAAAUGUAGCUCUGUGAGUAAUUUACCAGUACGCCAGUCAAACGCGGAAAUAUGACCUUUUCUUCCACCUAAUAAAAUCAUUCUUCCAUCUCUUGUAUAAUCAAAUGAGUAACCACCAAACUUAUCCAAAUCCAAGGAGAAAGACUUUGUAGCCGUCUCAAGUGCAACAUUAGGAGCCAGUUGAUCUUGACGAAACUUGUAUGUCCUUUCAAGGCCCUCGGCUUCCAAAAGACCGGGAUUAUCUUCAUGUAAGAUUUCGGUUUUCGCCAAGGAAGACUCAACAUUCUCAAUUCUCUCCUCGAUUUUCUGAAUAUUGCUUCGAAGCUUUUUAUCCUUGAUUUUCUUUGGAUUCAGCUUGCGCCCUCUAGAAUAUUUUUUUGUAGAAGCAUUAACAUCCUCCAAAUUCAACUUUUGAGCAGACAUAAUG